rnacentral:rRNA from 1 species
GACGUAGGAUGCGAGCGUUGUCCGGAUUUAUUGGGCGUAAAGAGUUCGUAGGUGGUUUGUUAAGUCUGAUGUUAAAGACUGGGGCUCCCCCUCGGAACUGCAUUGGAUACUGGCAGACUUGAGUGCAGUAGAGGCAAGCGGAAUUCCAGGUGUAGCGGUGAAAUGCGUAGAUAUCUGGAAGAACACCGGUGGCGUAAGCGGCUUGCUGGGCUGGAACUGACGCUGAGGAGCGAAAGCGUGGGGAGCGAACAGG